GGAGCUUCCCCGCACGACGUACCAUUCCUUUCCAUUACGUCUGGUGCACCCUGGACUACACUCGGAGGAAUUUCGGCCAAAGGGUGUCAUGUAACGAUGUUUCCGAGGCCGGCUACCGGACACCCACAUUGCGUCACACGUCGCAGACAAUACUUGUGACGAAUGUCGACCAUGUGAAACUCAAAUCAAAGAACUUCCUUGGAAUAAAUAACACACAUUUCUCCGUGAGGGUUGCACAUAGAAAUACAUCCACUAUCAGAAGAUAUUAUUUAAAAAAAACACCACGCUUUAUAAAAAGAUAUUCAUCACAGGAACCCAGCAAUAAAUAAAUAUUAAAAAUUGCCCACGAACACUUUUUAAAAUUUCAAGGAAAACCUACCUAACAAAAAU